rnacentral:tRNA from 1 species
GGAAGUGUGGCCGAGCGGUUGAAGGCACCGGUCUUGAAAACCGGGCGACCCGAAAGGGUUCCAGAGUUCGAAUCUCUGCGCUUCCGCCA